AGCCUACCCAUGAGGCAGCGCGCGGGCUGCACGCGAACCCCUUCACCCCCCUUCCCACGGCUCAGCUGCCUGCUCCGCAAUGGGAGCCGCCGCCGUUGCCGCCGUGUAGUUUUUCGUGCUCCUCCUUUUCCUCCUCCUCUUUCUCCUCCUCCUCAGGGCUCCAGUCAGGCCGAUCCGCUCCGCUCACGGAAGGAAAACGUAGAUAUUGAUUUCUGCUGUGUCUGGAGUCACAUGUACUUAGGUGACAAUUUACAGAAAGUCAACUCUGCAACUUGAUGGGCGACAACCCUUUUCAACCAAAAAAUAUUUCAAAAAUGGCAGAACUCUUUAUGGAAUGUGAGGAAGAAGAGCUGGAACCAUGGCAGAAGAAAGUAAAAGAGGUUGAGGAUGAUGAUGAUGAUGAACCCAUUUUUGUUGGAGAGAUAUCAAGUUCAAAACCAGCAAUUUCAAAUAUUUUGAACAGAGUGAACCCUAGCUCAUAUGCAAGGGGAGUAAAGAAUGGUGCACUCAAUCGAGGUAUUUCUGCUGCAUUUAAGCCUACAACUCAACACUAUACGAAUCCAACAUCAAAUCCAGUGGCUCCCUCACCAGCAAGUUUUCAUCCUGAAUCUAGAUCUUCAAAUAGUUCUGUUAUUGUUCAACCUUUUACUAAAUCUGGUUCUGUAACAAACUCUUUGCGAGUUGUGUCGAAUAACGCUCCAGAGUUACUGUUUGAUUUGACCCAGGAUGCAGGAUUACCACAUUUUCAAGGUGGACCAACAGUUUCUGUAGCAGGUGCAAAUGAAAAUUCAUUUUUAUCAAAACGCCCUUCUGCUUCUGAAGUAAACAGUGUGAGUCCCAAGAAGCCCAAGCCCAGUGAAAGUGUUUCUGGAACAAAUUCCUCAGCUGUAUUCCCUUCAGUUAAGUCUCCUUCAGUGACAGCUCCCCAAGCUGUGCCAUCAAAAGGUGCAAAUGGCUCAUCGAAUCAAUCUAAAAAUGGAACACCUUUUCCAAAAGCUUGUCCAAAGUGCAAUAUUCAUUUCAAUCUUUUGGAUCCUUUGAAAAAUCACAUGAAGUAUUGUUGUCCAGACAUGAUAAAUAACUUUUUGGGGCUAGCUAAAACAGAAUUGUCAAGCACAACAAAUAAAAAUAAGACUGUUGAUUCAGAGAAAGGAAAAUUGAUCAUGUUAGUUAAUGACUUUUAUUAUGGAAAACAUGAAGGAGAUGUCCAGGAAGAACAGAAGACUCAUACAACCUUUAAAUGCUUCAGUUGCUUGAAAAUCUUAAAAAAUAAUAUUAGGUUUAUGAACCACAUGAAACAUCAUUUGGAACUUGAGAAGCAGAGCAGUGAGAGCUGGGAAAACCACACCACCUGCCAGCACUGCUACCGUCAGUUUCCCACACCAUUUCAGCUGCAGUGUCACAUCGAAAGUACACACACUCCCCAUGAAUUUUCUACCAUUUGUAAAAUCUGUGAAUUAUCAUUCGAAACAGAACAUGUUCUUUUACAACAUAUGAAGGACAAUCAUAAACCCGGUGAGAUGCCAUAUAUCUGCCAGGUUUGCAAUUAUAGAUCAUCAUCAUUUUCUGAUGUAGAAACUCAUUUUAGAACAUCCCAUGAGAACACAAAGAACCUGCUGUGUCCAUUUUGCCUCAAAGUUAUUAAAAUUGCAACACCCUAUAUGCAUCAUUAUAUGAAGCAUCAGAAAAAAGGAAUACAUCGUUGUACAAAAUGCAGACUGCAAUUUUUGACAUGCAAAGAGAAAUUGGAUCAUAAGACUCAGCAUCAUCGGACAUUUAUAAAACCCAAACAACUGGAAGGAUUGCCUCCUGGGACAAAAGUUACCAUUCGAGCUUCUGUUGGACCUCUCCAGUCAGGAUCUUCGGUCACACCAUCCAUUAGUGCAAGCACUUCUACCCUUCAGCUCUCACCUCCAAGGACUAAAAAUAUAACUGAUAAAACUCCCACAAAAUUGAAUACAAGUAAACCUAAUACAACCAAAUCCAAUGCGAGUAAACCCAAUGCCAGUAAGCCUAAUGGAAAUAAAUCUAAGUACAAAUCAAAAAUCUCUAAUAUGCAAAAGAAACAAAGCACAUUGGCUAGUAGCAAUAAAAAAAGUAAAGUCAAUACAGCAUUGAGGAACUUAAGGUAUCGUCGGGGCGUUCACAAGUGCAUUGAAUGUUGUUCCGAAAUAAAAGAUUUUGCAAACCAUUUUCCUACAUAUGUCCACUGUAGUUUUUGCAGAUACAACACUAGCUGUAGCAAAGCCUAUGUAAAUCAUAUGAUGAGCUUUCAUAGUAACCGUCCAAGUAAAAGGUUUUGUAUAUUUAAGAAGCAUUCAGAACUCAGGGGCAUUACUGUAGUGUGCCUUAAUUGUGAUUUCCCAAGUGAUGUUUCUGACUUAGAUAAUAUGGCUACACACUUAUGUCAACAUGAAGCUCAUACUUGCCAAGUUGUAAUAGGGAAAGUUUCUGUUUGUAUCCCAACUUCUGAACAUCUUUCUGAAUUGAAAAAUGAAGCUCCUACUAAGGAACAAGAACCUGUGUCUAAGGAAGUUGCAAAACCUGUGACUGAAGGAGAGACAGAAACAUCACGUUCAGAAAGAAAACAUGAGAAAGCUUCUUCGGAAGACAAAAAUGAAUGCAAUGCAGAUUUAUUUGAAGGUCUAUCAGCAACAAAAAAUGCAGAAAGCCCAGCGAUUUCAGAUAAGGAGAAUGAUAGCCGCCUUACAGGCCAGGAACUUGGCUCAGAGACGGUCUUCAGUUAUGAAUCAAAUAUCAGUACAGAUGAAGUGGGAAAGGAAAAACAAGCACAACAUGUUUGUCAGGAAACAGAAUUAAAGAAGUGCAAAGAUCCAGAAAACACUGUUUCAUGUGACCAGAUGGAAGAUCUUAGCUCCAGUAAAGCUAAGUGUUCUUCAAAGAAUAUUAAAGAUUUGCGGUUGACAUCAGGUGAUGUUAGCAUAGAUCAGUUUUUGAGAAAGCGAGAUGAACCUAAAUCUGUUAGUUCUGAUGUUAGUGAGCAAGGCAGUGUUCAUUUGGAACCUUUGACUCCUUCAGAGGUACUUGAGUUUGAAGCCACAGAGAUUCUUCAGAAAGGUAAUGGUGAUCCUUCAGCCAACACUGAUGAAAUAGUGUCUGAAACAGAUGACAUUCCUGGAGGAAAUAGUCCUGGCAUGACAGAGACGACAGUAGACCUGGCAGAUGACAAAGAAAGAAGUUGAAAUUAGUCUUUCUAAGUUUUAGUGUACCAGCGGCAAGAGCAUUUGCAACAGUGCUAUCAGAUCACUGCUUGAUUCAGAUUACCUUUGGUGCCUUUAGAAAUUAUAUACUGUUCAAAGAAAUUUCAUGUUAAAGAUAAUGGUAGGAGUUCAUUCUGUAUUUUUUAACUGAUAUAUCUAUAUGUAUAUGAUUUAGUUAAAAAUAGGAUUAAAGCUAUAGUAAUAUUGCUAAUAAAGAGGAUAGGUUUGCUUUUACUUGCACUUCAAGAGACAUACAGUUUAAUUCGAUUUUCCAACUACUCAACAAUUUAGAGUGGCAAAUAAGCAAUAUAUAUUGUUGAAUUAUUUUCAGGAAGGCAAAUAUUUUCAUUUUUCCUGCUCUCAAGAAAAGACAGGGAGAGUUGUUGUUCUUCACCUUUUUGAAGCAUAAAUCUGUAGCAGUGAAAAUUUUUGGAAUAAUAAAAACCUUAAAAGAGCAGAGUAGAAAAAAAAAAGCCAAUGGAAGGACCACUUUCUGAGUCCCAUUCAUUUUGCUGCUAAGCCCAUCACCUUUUGCUGCAGAACUCCAGAACAUUAGUGACGCCAUAAUCCCUUUUGAGGUUUGAUAGUUCCUAUACCCUGUCCCCAUAUACAUUUAUUUAUUUAUUUAUUUAUUUAUUUAUUUAUUUAUUUUCCCCAUAUGCCUUUAGAGUAGUGGCGUGAAAGUUGCUGAUUAGUGAACUGUCCCUAUCCACUACAAGAAAAGGAACUUAACCCAGACUAUAUGUCUUUCAUUGAGAAAGUCUGGCAAUGGGAAAAAAAAGUAGUUAAAAUAGUAUUAUAGGAGGGUACUCCAAAAAGUUCCUGGAAAAAUGCAAUGAAAAACUAGGUUUAUUUUGAUGCAGAUAUUUUUGAAAUAUGUGUUUUCAUAAUACACAUUUUCCAUGAAGCUUUUGAAGACCCUGCUUACUUGUUAACAUAGUUGGUUUACAUUCUCAUACUUUCUCCUUAUCUUGGCCCCAGUCAGGAACAGACAGUUCAGAUAUGCAAAGCAGAACUUUGAGUAGCAGUACUUUGGAGCAGAAGACAGCAAACCUUUUCUCUACAGAGCCAGGUAGUAAAUAAUUGCGGGCCAUGUGGUUGCAGUUACUCCGUUCGCCUUGUUUCCAUGAAAGCAUUUGAAGAUAAUAUGUAAAUAAUUAGUCUGUGUUCCAGUAAAAUUUUAUUUACUAAAACAUGAUGUUGGCUGGAUUUGGCCCAAAGACUAUUGUUUGCCUAACCCUUCUUUAGAGUGCUUUGAUUCCGGUUUUUUGUUUGUUUGUUUGUUUGUUUUAAUUAUUUGAAAAAAAGAGAGCUGUCAUCUGCUGGUCUGUCUCCAAAUACCUGCAGUAGCAGGGGUGAAGGUGGGGCACAAAGCCAGGAGCCAAGUCCUGGCCUCCAACAUGAUUGGCAGGAACCCAAUUAAUUCAGGCAUCGCGGCUGACUCCCAGAGUUUGCAUCAGCAAGAAACUGGGACUCAAACCUGGGACACGAGUGUCUUAUCUGGGGUUUUGAUCAUCAUAUUACGUAAGAGACCCUAGAUUCCUUUGAUAGGAAUGGGAAUGCUGGUAAUACACUCUAGUGAUUACCUAAGAACAACCAUGAGCCCAAGGUGAUGUUUUUUGCAGUAGUUAAGAUGUAGCUUGGGAAUCCCUGAGUUCAGUUCUUGCCUCCCUUCUCAGUUUGAGCUUCCAUACCCUGGGAAACAGUAGUGAUGGCUCAAGUAGGUGGAUCCCCUACCACCCAGACUGAGUUCCUCACUCCCAGCUUCCGCCUGGCCUGGCUUAGCUCGAGUUGUUGCGGGCAUUUAGGGAGUGAAUCAGCUAAUGGGAGAUCUCUGUGUGUGCCUUUCUCUAUGCCUUUCAAAUAAAUAAGUGAAAAAUUUUUAAAAAGAACAACCAAAAUCCCUUAAUAUGUUAAUAGUUCUCUGUUACCUAUCAAUAGGAUUUUGAUAGUACAGUUUGAUGAUGUUUUGAAGCAUACUUGUUUAAUGAGAUGUAUUUUUAGUUUAUAUUGAAAAUCUGAAUAUGAUUUUCACUUGUUAUUUUUAACCCUAUGUAUCUCAUUAGUGUUUUAGGAAAGAAAUUAUAAUUUUUCCACUCCUGAAUUUAAAAAAAAAAACUAAAGAUUUGCAAAAAGAAGCUAACAAAAUAUAAGUUGUUUUGUUUGGGCUCUAAGUAAAAAGGUGAGGAAAAUAAAUAAGCAAUUUUUAAUGUUACAAGAUUUAAACACAAAUUGAUCUGAUUCUAAUGCUAUAUUGUUUUUCCAUCACACAUAUGCUUCCUAGCAUUUAUAUUGAAUAUCCCCUUUUAAAAUAACUAACUUUUGCAAAUUACUUUCUCAUUGAUAUUACUAAUUAUAAUUUUAUUAUCACUAUAGUGACCUUAUGGAAUCAAGGGCAUCUUAAUUGAAAGAAAGUGAGCCUAAUGAUAUCUUUUUUAAAAAGACUUAUUUCAUUUAUUUGAAAGCCAGGGUUAAGAGAGAGGGAGAGAUAGGAGUCUUCCAUCCGCUGGUUCACUCCCCAGAUGGCUGCAAUAGUUAAGGCUGGACCAUGUGUCUCCCAUCAUGGGUGUAGGGGCCUAAACACUUGGGCUAUCUUGUGCUGCUUUUCUAGGUGCAUUAGCAGGGAACUGGAUUGGAAGUGGAGCAGCCAGGACUCGAACCAUUGUCCAUAUGGGACGCUGGUGUCACAGGUGGUGGCAUAUCCUGUUACUCUACAAUACCAGCCCACUAAUGAUGCCUUUUUUUAAAAAAAAAAAAAAAAAGAAGUUUCAUUUUUUUUGAAAAGCAGAGACAGAGACAGACAGACAUAGAGAUCUUCCAUUUGCUGGCUCACUUUCAAAAGGCUGCAACUGCUGGGGCUGGACUAAGCCAUUGCCAGAAGCACCAGCUCUUACUGGGUCUCCCACAUGGGUAGCAAGGACCCACGUACUUGAACCAUCACCUUCUGCCUUUCAGUAUAUGCAUGAGCAGAAACCUCUGCUAAUGAGAUGCAGGUGUCCCAAGCAGCAUCCUGACUGCUGUGCCAAAUGCCUGUCUCUUUUCUUAAUAAGAAUUAAUGACUUUCCUCUGAAGAAAAAGUGUUAGUAAAUCAUUUUACUAAUAGGAACGAUAGCAUGUAAUUUGAAAAUAUAUUUUAUGUAAUAAUUACUGAAUUUUUAACAUUAUUACAAUUUUGUAGGCUUCUAUUAAGUCACUGCUUGGUUUUCAUGGUUGAAAUGAUCAUUUUUGUUCCUUCAAAACUGCCACUCCAAGAACACUUAUUUGUACUGACUUUAUGAAAUAGGACAUAUAUAUAUAUAUAUAUAUAUAAACACACACACACAUAUAUAUAGGCACUAAAAGAAGAUUGCAAAUAUUUCUUUUUUUUUGUUUUGUUUUUGAAGAUUUAUUUAUUUAUUUAUUUAUUUUAACUUUUAUUUAAUGAAUAUAAAUUUCCAAAGUACAGCUUAUGGAUUACAAUGGCUUCCCCCCCAUAACGUCCCUCCCACCCACAACCCUCCCCUCUCCCACUCCCUCUCCCCUUCCAUUCACAUCAAGAUUCAUUUUCGUUUCUCUUUAUAUACAGAAGAUCAGUUUAGCAUACAUUAAGUAAAGAUUUCAACAGUUUGCUCCCACACAGAAACAUAAAGUGAAAAAUACUGUUUGAGUACUAGUUAUAGCAUUAAAUCUCAAUGUACAGCACACUAAGGACAAAGAUCCUACAUGAGGAGUAAGUGCACAGUGACUCCUGUUGUUGACUUAACAAAUUGACACUCUUGUUUAUGGCAUCAGUAAUCACCCUAGGCUCUUGUCAUGGAAGCCUCCUGAGUUCACUGACUCUGAUCAUAUUUAGACAAGGCCAUGGUCAAAGUGGAAGUUAUUUCCUCCCUUCAGAGAAAGGUACCUCCUUCUUUGAUGGCCCAUUCUUUCCACUGGGAUCUCACUCGCAGAGAUCUUUCAUUUAGGUUUUUUUUUUUCCCCAGAGUGUCUUGGCUUUCCAUGCCUGAAAUACUUUCAUGGGCUUUUGAGCCGGAUCCGCAUGCCUUAAGGGCUGAUUCUGAGGCCAGAGUGCUGUUUAGGACAUCUGCCAUUCUAUGGGUCUCACUUCCCAUGUUGGAUCAUUCUCUCCCUUUUUUAUAUUUCAUUUUUACAUUAUUAUAACAUUAACACUUGUUUAUUAGGCUAAAAAUCAAACAAUUUACCCAUAUUUAAGCUUUUAAAAAACUUAUUGUCUCAUUAUUUAAAAGAAUAUACCAAGUAUAAUUAUUUUUCAUUGCUGACACUGUGUUAUCGUAGUGAAGAUUAUUGGACUAAGCUGUAAAUGAAGCUGUAGCUGCAGAUACUAAUGACCUAAGUGAUCCCCAGAACUUACCUUACGUUGUGGUUUCCAGAGAAUGCUGCACGUAUGUCUAGUCUCAUUUGACUCUUCCAAAAAUCGAACAGAAAAAUUGACUGUAUUCCUCAAUCACCUCAGCUCCUUUUUUUUUUUUUUAAGAUUUAUUUAUUUAUUUAUUUGAAAGUCAGAGUUACCCAGAGAGAGGAGAGGCAGAGAGAGAGGUCUUCCAUCAGAUGGUUCACACCCCAAAUAGCCGCAACGGCAGGAGCUGUGCCGAUCCAAGCCAGGAGCCAGGAGCUUCUUCUUCUGAGUGCAGGGGCCCAAGGACCCAGGCCAUCUUCCACUGCUUUCCCAGGCCACAGCAGAGAGUUGGAUCAGGAGUGGAGCAGCCGGGUCUCGAACCAGCGCCCAUAUGGGAUGCCGGCGCUUCAGGCCAGGGCAUUAACCAGCUGUGCCACAGCGCCAGCCCCCUCAGCUCCUUUUUUAAAAAGACUUUCCUUUCUGAACAGUGGAGUAAAUAUGUCCUUUCUGUGAAAUUUGUUAACUAUGAACUCUAGUUUUAAACUUUUAAAAUUUUUGAGCCUUUACCCACUACGUUUAAAGCAUUUUAAUUGCUCUAUGUUAGAGGCUAGCAAGCUGUGACCUACUAGUGACCAUCUGUUUUAUAAAUAAAAUUUAUUAGAUAGCCAUACCAUUUGUUUACAAAUUGUUUUAUUUUCCCUACAACAGCACAGUUGUAUAUGCAAUAGGCCAUAAGAGUAAAAUAUUUAUAAUACUUGCAGUCUGAACCUUUAUUUAUUAAUGGAAACUUUUGUUGUUUGGGAGAUGGAGAGCACUCAUCAGUUGCUUUACUCCUCAAAUGCCCACAGUGACCAGGACUAGACCAGAGUGAAGCUGUGAGCCAAGAACUUAAUCCACGUCUCUCACAUGGAUCACAGGAUCCCAUUUACUUAAACUAUCAUCAGUACCUCUCAAGAUCUGCAUUGGCAAGAAGACUGAGUCAGGAACUGGAGCUGGGUAUCACACUCAUGCACUCUGCUAUGGGGCACAGGCAUCUUAACCAGUGUCUCCCCCCACCUCCCCCGGAAAACCUUUUAUUUAAGGUAUACAGUCUUCAUGCAUUUCAUAAGUGCAAUUUUAGGAACAUAGUGAUUCUUCCCACCAUACACACACUCCCACCCUUUUCUUUCUGCCUCUCCUAUUCUCAUUCUUUUUUCACUAAGAUCUAUUUUCAGUUAGCUUUACGCACAUAAGAUUAAACUAAGUAAAGAGUUCAACAAAUAGUAUGAAAAAAACCUUCUUCAACAGUUGAGACAAGGGCUUCUCAAAGUCAUUGCAUCUCAAAGUGUCAAUUUUACUUCUAUAGGUUACCUUUUAGGUGCUCUGUUAUUAUCACAGAUCCGGGAGAAUAUAUGGUAUUUGUACUUUUGGGACUGGUUUAUUCCACUAAUAUAUUUUUCAGAUUCAUACAUUUUGUUGUAGAUGAUAGGAUUUCAUUUCUUUUUACUGCUGUGUAGUAUUCCAUGGUAUAUUUAUAUACCAAAAUUUCUUUAUCCAGUCUUCAGUUGAUGGGCAUUUGGGUUAAUUCAGUAACUCAGCUAUUGUGAAUUGAGCUGCAAUAAACAUGAGAGUACAGAUAACUCUUUCACAUGCUGAUUUCAUUUCCCUUGGGUAAAUUCCCAAGAGUAGAAUGGUUGGGUCAUAUAGUAGGUCUAUAUUCAGAUUUCUGAGGUAUCUCCAUUCUGUCUUCCACAGUGGCUGGACCAGUUUACAUUUCCAUACAGUGGAUUAGGGAACCUUUCUCCCCACAUCCUCGCCAGCAUGUGUUCUUUGUUGAUUUCUGUAUGAAAGCCAUUCCAACAGGAGUGAGGUGAAACUUCAUUUUGAAAUUUUGAUUUGCAGCCGGCGCCACAGCUCACUAGGCUAAUCCUCCGCCUUGCGGCACCAGCACACCGGGUUCUAGUCCCGGUUGGGGCGCCGGAUUCUCUCCCGGUUGCCCCUCUUCCAGGCCAGCUCUCUGCUGUGGCCAGGGAGUGCAGUGGAGGAUGGCCCAAGUGCUUGGGCCCUGCACCCCAUGGGAGACCAGGAGAAGCACCUGGCUCCUGCCAUUGGAUCAGUGUGGUGCGCCGGCCACAGUGCGCUGGCCGUGGCAGCCAUUGGAGGGUGAACCAAUGGCAAAGGAAGACCUUUCUCUCUGUCUCUCUCUCUCGCUGUCCACUCUGCCUGUCAAAAAAAAAAAUUUUUUUUUUUGAUUUGCAUUUCCCUGAUGGCUGGUGAUCCUGAGCAUUUUUUCAUGUGUCUGUUGGGCAUUUGGAUUUCCUCUUUUGAAAAAUGCCUAAGUUCUUUGCCCAUUUCUCCACUGGGUUGUUAGUUUUGUUGUUGUUGAGUUUCUUGAUCUCUUUAUAUAUUCUUGUUGUUAAUCCUUUAUCAGUUGCAUAGUUUAUAAAUAAUUUCUCCCAUUCUGUCAGUUGCCUCUUCACUGUGCUGAGUGUUUCUUUUACAUUGCAGAAGUUUCUCAAUUUAGUGUAAUCACAUGUGUCAGUUUGGGCUUUGAUUGAGUCUUGGGGAUGUUUUCCAAGAACUCCUUGCCUAUGCCAAUGUCUUUCAGGAUUUCCCCCAAUGUUCUCUAAUAAUUUGAUGGUAUUGGGUCAUAGAUUUAGGUCUUUGUUCCAUUUUGAGUGGAUUUUUGUGUAAGGUGUAAGGUGUGGGUCUAGUUUCAAACUUCGGCAUGAGGAGAUCUAGUUUUCCCAGCACCAUUUACUGAAGAGACUGUCCUUGCUCCAGGGAUUGAUUUUAGCUCCUUUGUCAAAGAUAAGUUGGCUGUAGAUGCAUGGGUUGGUUUCUGGUAUUUCUGUUCUGUUCCAUUGCUCUAUCUGUUUUUGUACCAGUACCAGGCUGUUUUGAUUAUAACUGUCCUGUAGUAUGUCUUGAAAUCUGGUAUUGUGAUACCUCUGGCUUUGUUUUUUGUUUGUUUGUUUUGUUUUGUUUUGUUUUAAUAUGACAGAGUUAGACACAGAGAGAGAGAGAGACAGAAAGGUCUUCCUUCCACUGGUUCACCCCGCAAAUGGCCACCAUGGCUGGAGCUAUGCCAAUCUGAAGCCAGGAGCCAGGUGCUGCUUCCUGGUCUCCCAUGCGGGUGCAGGGGCCUAAGCACUUGGGCCAUCCUCCACUGCCCUCCUGGGGCACAGCAGAGAGCUGGACUAGAAGAGGAGCAACCAGGACUAGAACUGGCACCCAUAUGGGAUGCCAGCGCCGCAGGUGGAGGAUUAACCAAGUGAGCCAUGGCACCGGCCCCCUGGCUUUGUUUUUGUUGUAUAAAAUUGCUUUAGCUAUUCAGGGUAUCCUGUGUUUUCCAUAUGAAUUUCAGCACUGUUUUUUCUAUAUCUGGGAAGAAUAUCCUUGGUAUUUUGAUUUGUAUCACAUUGAAUCUGUAAAUUGCUUUUGGUAGUAUGGACAUUUUGAUGAUAUUGAUUCUUCCAGUCCAUAACCAUGGAAUUUUUUUAAAAUUUUUUUGUGCCUUCUAUUUCUUUCUUUAAUGCUUACUAAUUCUCAUCAUAGAGAUCUCUGACAUCCUUGGUUAAGUUUAUUCCAAGUUAUUUUUAUUUCUGUAACUAUUGUGAAUGGGAUUGGUCUUAGAAGUUCUUUUUUGCCGGCGCCUCAGCUCAGUAGGCUAAUCCUCCGCCUUGUGGCACAGGCACACCGGGUUCUAGUCCCGGUCGGGGCGCCGGAUUCUCUCCCGGUUGCCCCUCUUCCAGGCCAGCUCUCUGCUGUGGCCAGGGAGUGCAGUGGAGGAUGGCCCAAGUGCUUGGGCCCUGUACCCCAUGGGAGACCAGGAUAAGUACCUGGCUCCUGCCAUUGGAUCAGCACGGUGCGCCGGCCACAGCGCGCCGGCUGUGUCGGCCAUUGGAGGGUGAACCAACGGCAAAGGAAGACCUUUCUCUUCUCUCUCUCUCUCUCUCUCUCUCACUGUCCACUCUGCCUGUUUAAAAAAAAAAAAAAAAAGUUUUUUUUCAGCCAUGGCAUUGUCUGUGUAUACAGAGGCUAUUGAUUUUUGUGUGUUGAUUCGAUAUCCUGCCACUUUACCAAACUCUUCUAUGAGUCUCAAUGGUCUGUUAGUGUAGUCUUUUGGAUCCCCUAUAUGUAGAAUCAUGUCAUCUGCAAAUAGGGAUAGUUUGACAUCCUCCUUCCCAAUUUGUAUCCCUUUGAUUUCUUUUUCUUGCCUAAUGGCUCUGGCUAAGACUUCCAGGACUAUAUUGAAUAGCAAUAAUGAGAAUGGGCAGCCAGGUCUGCUUCUAGAUCUUAGUGGGAAUGCUUCUGACUUUUCCCCCAUUCAAUAAGAUGCAGGCCAUGGGAUUGUUAUAAAUUGCUUUGAUUGUUUUGAGGAAUGUUCCUUCUAUACCCAAUUUGCUUAGAGUUUUCAUCAUGAAUAAUGUUGUAUUUUAAAAUGCUUUCUCUGCAUAUAUUGAGACAAUCACAUGUUUUUUUUUUCUUCAGUUUGUUAAGGUGAUGUAUAUCAUUGAUUGAUUUGAGAGUGUUGACCCAUCAAUGCAUACCAGGGAUAAAUCCCACUUUUAACUAGUAUGUAACUGCUAAGUCAAUCAAUGAGCUGCAGUGGUCAGGGUCAGUGCUGGGCCAGGCUAAAGCCAGGAUCCAGGAGCUUCAUCCAGGUCUCCCACAUGGGUGCAGGGGCUCAAGUACUUGGGCCAUUUUCCAAUGCUUUCUCAGGUGCAUUAACAGGGAGCUGGAUCAGAAUUGGAGCAGCCAGGACUGGAACUGGCACCUAUAUGGGAUGCUGGCAGUGCAGGUAGAGGCUUAGCCUUCUGUGCCACAGCACAGGCCCUUUAGUCGCAUUUUUUUUUUUUAAUAAUUGUUUACUUACUUGAGAGGCAGAGAGACAGCAUUCUCAUCCUCAGGUUCACUCCUCCAAUUCUCCCAGUAGCCUUUGUUCAAAUCCAGGAGCUUAGAAGCCAAUCCAGACCUCCCACAGUGGGGAAGAAACCCAACUACUUCAGCCAUCAUGGCUGUCCCCCAGAGUGGGUACCAGCAGGAAAUGAACCAGAAGUGGAGCCAGGCAGUGAAGCCAGAUUGCUAGAUAUGGAAUGCAGGCCUCCUAUCUGGUAUCUUAACUGCUAAACCAAAUGCCCACCUUUGUAAUGGGGACCUUUAAAAGAAAGUAUGCCAUUUCAUACUAUAUAUUUUUAUAUAGGCACAUUGCACUUUAUAGCUUUUUGAUCUUCACUCUUAUAAAAACUACAAUGAGACUUUUAGAAUUCUAAGUGUAGUCUGUGGCCGCACUAUCCUAGACACACCCAAUCUCAUUGAUCUUGGAAGCUAAGCAGGGUGGGGCCUGGUUAGUACUUUGAUGGGAGAAUUCUAAAUGUGAAAUUUAUUAGGUUAAAGAACAGUCUGUUUUCAAAUUUUUAAAAAAAAAUUCAUACUAAUGUUACCAAUUUGACAGGAUAUUUUUAUAAAAAAUGUUAAUACAUAAUGCUUGUAAGAUAAAAAGUGGUUAAAGUUCUACCACAAUAAUUAUGGAAAGCUUUUUGUCCCCACAUAAACUCAUAAGAAUUGAAGACUUAUUUAUCUAGAAAUUUUUAUCUUCAAUUCUUAAAAAAAAGUUUUUCUUCAUUUUUUUAAAAAAGGUAUUGUGCUUUUCACCAGAUAUUUCUAGUAUGUGGUUGUGUGAUUAGUUCCCAACCAGUGGGUUGUGAGUGAAGGUGACUUCUGGUCUGGGUAUUUGGUUGCUGAUCUGAGACUCUGUGAAACUUUUUUUCCUUUGGCAUGGUACCAGUCACACUUGAGAUGGUGAUUGCCCCAUGGGAGAGCAUCCAUGCUUAUUCAUAUGUUGUGUGAGAGGGAAAUAAGCCAUUUUUGUUAUAAACUAAUGCAGUUAGGGAAAUUUUGUUUCUGCAUCAUAACCUAUUUUGACCUAUACAGGCAUUAAUCCUGAAAAUAGAGUACUGUCAUUUAACAAUCAGACUUAAACAAUGGCUUUAGGUGACAGAUGGUGAGGCUACGUGAGUGAUCUACAUUCUGCUGCAGUGAAAGAUUUGAUAAACUGUUCUCUCAAAUAACUCGGAAGACAAUAUACUUAAUGAACUUGUUUCUCUAUUGGGAGACCAGGUAGCACAAUGUUAAUAGCAUGUUUUGAUUACUAUACUAGCUGUAUUUGGGAAGAUAUUUUAAGAAAGAAAAGAACUCAGAUGAGAAGUGGUAUGAUUGCAAAUGGGAACAAAAUAGAAUAGAAACGUAGAAAUUCAUAUACAUAUUUGCAGGAUUGAAGGAAGCAGAAAACUUCCCAAUUUCAACCAGUAAAAGGAAAAGGACUUUGAGCACCAAAGCUUGAUUGAAUCAUAUAUGGCCACCACUGUGAUUGUUGAAACAUCUGCCUAUAGUGUUUCUUCAUGAGAAUUCCUUCCAACAUUUCUUGGGAAAUUCAUAAUUUUGCAAAUCAGAAGACAUAUCAGUUAAGAAAUUGAUGGAAGAAUGGAAAGUAUUAUAAUUUUGCUGUGUGAUUAAAACAUAUUAAUUAACUUAGAGCCAUUUACUGUUUGAAGAAAUCCACUGAAAUCAAGCCCAAUAGCAAGAACAGGGAAUGCUGACAUGGUGGAGUUCAAGGGUAAGGUCAGUGUUUCCAUACAGUGAACAAAGAGCAAAUAAAAGAGAAAUGUUCACAAUCUAAUCAGCCUUGCUUGAAGCUAUUGCUAUAUUGCUGUGUCCACACCCCUCUUUGCUAACAGUGAUAAUAAUUUUAUAUGUGUAGUAUACUUAAUACAAAUUUGAUCAGUGGUGUUUGAAGAAAUAACAUGUGGAAGCAAAAUAACUCUUUAAAUUGGAAAUUUUGACUUGUUAUUUUUAUAUAGUACUGUUAACCUUGCUAAGAGAGCCAAACAUUACAUAAUGCAACUAUUACUAAAUAAAUUUGUUAGCACUUCAGAGUGUUGGUUAUUUGCCAAAGACUAAUUGUUCUUUGCAAAUAUUUAAAAAUGCAAAGAAAAAAAUGGGAAUAUUCUGGAACAUUCCAAACGAAUCUAAACUAAAAUUACAAAAACAGUAUCAGUUUCAACCAUAAGACCAACAUCAGAGCAAACAGAUAAAUGUUUUCAUCAUUUAGAAGGAAAUAGAGUUUCUAUGAAGCAAUAUAUAACCUCAUUUGAGGAUAUUUUUGGACAUACUCUUAGCAACUCUAUUAAUACCAAUGCAAAAUGAAAAAAAAAAAAACUAUAUUUGAAACAUCUGUUACCAAGUAAAGAUUAUUGGGUAGAGCUUUGUAUACUUUAAGUUUUAGUUGAUAGAUUAAUUAAUUAAUGCUUUGUGUACUUUAAGUUUUAAUUUUAAGAAUAACUUAGGGACCUGUGCUGUAGUGUAGAGGAUAAAAUCCUGUAAUGCCGAUAUCCUCUGGGUGUGCUGGUUCAACUCCCAGUUGCUCCACUUCAUAUCUGGCUCACUGCUAAUGCUCCUGGGAAGGCAUCAGAAGGUGACCCAAGUACUUGGGUUCCUGCACCCACGUGGGAGACCUGGAUGAAGCUCUUGGCUUUGGCCUAGCCUAGCCCUGCCCAUUACGGCCAUUUAGGGAAUAAACCAGGGGAUGAAAGAUUCUCUCUCCGUCUCUCUCUCUUUCUCUGCCUGCCUCUGCCUCUCCCUCUCUCUAACUACCUUUCAAAUAAAUGAAUUAAUUUAAAAAACUUGUAAACAAAUAUUUGUGGUACUUCCAAUUUUCAAAAUAAUUUUAUUUGACAUUUAUGUUACUGUUUCUGUCAUUUCUGUUAUCAAAUAUUUAUAACAGGUAGAAAUUAUGGUAUUGCAGUAUAUCAUCUUGUCACAAUAUGAUUCAUAAUAAUAAACCACAUACUUAUAAUUUGUUUUUAAUACAUUUUCUGAAAUAUUUAAUAUAGCAAUCACAGAAAAAUGAUUUAGUGUUUAUUUUGUUCACUCAAAAUUAUUUAAACUAUAUUAAAUAUAUUUAAAAUUAUUUUAUAUAUUUAAAAUAUGGUAAGUACACUGCUAUGAAAAAUUUCAAAUUUUGUGUAGUUUGAAGAUUUCUAAGAAUUGCCAGAAAUUUUGAUUCUUCACCCUUACAUCCUUGUUGGUGAUUUGGAAAUACCAAAACCCAAUAAAUCUUCAUAGCAAGGCAAAAAUGGCUUAGACACAAAAGCUAAAGAGUCAGCUUUUCACCAAUGCCUGAUAGUCUCAGAGAACCCUGUUUAAGUGUGGGAACAGUUGGGAGGACGUAUCUUUAAAAGUUGUGGGUGGCUCUUGACUCAUUGCUGAGUUGCAGAUCCAGGAAACUAGAGAACCUCAAACACUAGACAUAUGAAGAAAACUAUACAAAGGUAAGAUAAUACUCAAAACCAGUAAUAAAAUCUUAAAUGUAACCAGAUAAGAAAGACAUGUUACAUAUUGAGCAACAAAGGAUGAUAUCAGAGACCUUUAAAAGUACUAAGGGAAGGCCGGCGCCACGGCUCACUAGGCUAAUCCUCCGCCUAGCGGCGCCGGCACACCGGGUUCUAGUCCCGCUCGGGGCGCCGGAUUCUGUCCCGGUUGCCCCUCUUCCAGACCAGCCCUCUGCUGUGGCCAGGGAGUGCAGUGGAGGAUGGCCCAGGUGCUUGGGCCCUGCACCCCAUGGGAGACCAGGAAAAGCACCUGGCUCUUGGCUCCUGCCAUCGGAUCAGCGCGGUGCGCCGGCCGCAGCGCGCCGGCUGUGUCGGCCAUUGGAGGGUGAACCAACGGCAAAGGAAGACCUUUCUCUCUCUGUCUCUCUCUCUCACUGUCCACUCUGCCUGUCAAAAAAAGAAAAAAAAAAAAGUACUAAGAGAAAAUAUUUAACUUAGAAUUGUUUCCUAGCAAAAGCGUCUUUCAAAAACAAACGCAAGACUUAUUCAGAAUUUAUCCUCACAGAGCUGCACUACAAGAAAUGCUAAAAGUGGACAGAAGGUACACCAUAGAGAAAAUUAACUGUAUUGUUCAGUUUUUUAAAAGCUUUUGCUGAGUUUUUUCUUUGCUUGAUCUAUCAGUUACUGGAUAAUAUGUUUGAAAACCCUUUACUGUGUUGGUGGUGGUAGCACAUGUAUCAGUUUACAGCAGUAUUUUUGUUUUAGUUGAGAUUAUAUUUUGUAUAUACAAGUUUAGUUUAUUUUCCUAGUGAACUGAGCUGCAUUAUAUAGUGACCUCUUUAUAUCUAGUAAAUGCUGAAAGCUUUGUUUGAGACUGCCUGUUUGCAUGAUACAUAAUUUUGAUUCUUAUACUUUCAGCCUUUAUAUUAUACAUACGUACAUUUUAAAAGUCCAAACAAUUUUUAUGUUUUAAUUAUAGCACUUAGUCCACUAUAUUUAUGUUCUUUCUUGCUAUCUUUUGAAGUAUCCGUUUUCUCAUCUAUUUUUUUUUAAUUCUAUUGGUUUUGGAAAUCAUAAACUCUGUACUCUCCUACAUGCUUUUUCAGUCUUUGAGUAGGUACCCACCUGGAAUCUCACCAUGGAUCCUUGAUUUAUGAAAGCCUAAAAAUUAUUUUGAUCCCUCUAAAAACACGUAAAUUAUACUUGAUUCCAUAUUCCUUUCUAAAGGCUUUUUUUCCUACUCAGUUUUCAUCCAAGGCUGCCAAUCAGAAACAUAGGCUUGGAAUGGAAUAUGAAAUCUCUUGAUUUUUAAGUGUUGUCCAAAAUUGUGUGAGCCUAGUAAGAUCUUGUUGACAGUUCAGUAAUUAAAAGCUUCCGCUAGGCCCAAGCAAAAAAUUUAAUCAUGGCUUUAUUCAGUGGUGACUGCAACUGUUAUCACACAGAAAUCCUGCCUCAUGUGAGGUGCUUUAUUUCCUGUUACAUAAGAGAAGUAAAACUUGUAGCUGCUGUUUGCCACUCUGGAAAUUAUACUAUGUAUCCUAAAUUUCUAAAUGUCUAAUCAGUUAUUUUUAGGGGCCCGGCACUGUGGCAUAGCGGGUAAAACCACUGCCUGCAAUGCCAGCAUCCUGUCUGGGCGCCAGUGAAUGAGCGGAUGGAAGAUGGCUCUCUCUGCCUCUCCUUCUUUCUGUGUAUAACUCUGACUUUCAAAUAAGAAAGAAAGAAAGAAAUCUAAAAAAAAAUUAUUUUUAACCUCUUCCCAAUCAAAGAGCUGUAAAAACUCCCAAUUCCAAAUGCUUGUAGAGGAGUACAUGGCCCUUCCAAGAUGGCAGCUCUAAGUUCCAGUUCACUGUGGCACCAGUAUUUGUUGUAAAAUCUGCCAUUUUUUUUUCCUCUUUUGUUUUGAUCAACGUAGUGUUGACAAAACAAACUAUUUGCAAAUCAGAUGUGACUGGCAAACAGCCAGUUUUUAGCCUCUUCAGGAGCCAGUGAAGAGCUAAUUAUAUAUUUAUCUCUAUCUUUAUCUUUAUAUCUAUCCGUUCCUUCAGUAAAUGUUUAUUGAGCCCCUACAAUUGUCAUGUGCCUUAAUCCUUUGUUUAGUGUAGCCACUUGAUGAAGUGUGUCGCCAAAUCCUUGACAGCCAGUCCUUUAAGAAUGGCCCACCAGGGAAAUUAAGAAAUCAUGGUUGAGAUUUACUAUAUUUUUACCAUUUUCGUGAUCUUCAUUCCUUCUUGUAUGUCAUUCCUUCUAUCUGGGCUUAUUCUCCUACUGACUGAAGUAUAUCCUUCCUAAUAAAUACUCUUCAGAGGAAGUUUUCAGAUUGCAGAUUUUCAGCUUUUGCUUUGAAAAUAUCUUCCUCUUAGUCCUUGUUAGAGAAAGAAAUUUUCUGAGUAUAGAAUUACAGAUUGAAUAAUUUUCUUUCUUCCUUUUUUUUUUUUUUUUUUUGACAGGCAGAGUGGACAGUGAGAGAGAGAGAGACAGAGAGAAAGGUCUUCUUUUUCCAUUGGUUCACCUUCCAAUGGCCGCUGCAGCUGGUGCACCGCGCUGAUCCGAUGGCAGGAGCCAGGUGCUUCUCCUGGUCUCCCAUGGGGUGCAGGGCCCAAGCACUUGGGCCAUCCUCCACUGCACUGCCUGGCCACAGCAGAGAGCUGGCCUGGAAGAGGGGCAACCAGGACUAGAACCCGGUGUGCUGGUCCCGCAGGCGGAGGAUUAGCCUAUUGAGCCGCGGUGCCAGCCCUGAAUAAUUUUCUUUCAGCAUGCUGAAAUACCAUUUAUUUUCUUCUGAAUUCUAUGUUUAUUGUUAAGAAGUCCAUCUAAUUGUACUCUUCUCUCAGUUGGCAUCUCAAGAAAUGGUAGUCUAUGCACUUUGGAUUCAUAAUGAUAUGUUUAGGUAUUGCUUUCUGUUUAUCAUCCUGCUUGAUUUAUUACACUAUUUAUGAAGUAAUACCUUUCUAGAACAUUCUCAGCCUCUCUGUUUCUUUUUUAAAGAUUUAUUUAUUUGAAAGGCAGAGUUGCAGAGAGAGAGGGCAAGACAGAGAAAGAAAGAUGUUCUAUCCACUGGUUGACACCACAAAUAGCCACCAUGGCUAGAGCUGGGCCAGGCCAAAGCCAGGAGUCAGAAACUCCAUACCUGUCUCCCACAUGAGUAGUAGUGGCCUAGGUAUUUGGGUCAUCUUCCAACUGUGUUCCCAGGAACUUUACAAGGGAACUGGAAUGGAAGUGGAGCAACCAGGACUUGAACCAGUACUUAUAGGUUGACAGCACUGUAGGUGGUAGCUUACCAUGUUGCACCACAACUCCAGCCCCCACUACCAUCUCUUUUUAAAACUCCAUCCUUGGCCGGCGCCGCAGCUCACUAGGCUAAUCCUCCGCCUAGCGGUGCUGGCACACCGGGUUCUAGUCCCGGUUGGGGCACCGGAUUCUGUCCCGGUUGCCCCUCUUCCAGGCCAGCUCUCUGCUGUGGCCAGGGAGUGCAGUGGAGGAUGGCCCAAGUGCUUGGGCCCUGUACCCCAUGGGAGACCAGGAAAAGCACCUGGCUCCUCCUGGCUCCUGCCAUCGGAUCAGCGCGGUGCGCCGGCCGCAGCGCGCCGGCCGUGGCGGCCAUUGGAGAGUGAACCAACGGCAAAGGAAGACCUUUCUCUCUGUCUCUCUCUCUCUCACUGUCCACUCUGCCUGUCAAAAAAAAAAAAAAAAAAAAAAACUCCAUCCUCUAUGACUCUUAAUUUUUUCUCAUAUUCAGUUUGUGCUACAUUUUGCAUAACUUAGAUCUUUCAGUAUAUUAUCUUUCUCCAUAUUUAAUCAGUUAACUACAUUCAUUGAACUUUUGAAAUUUCAAUUACUACAUUUUUCAUAGUGAACAUCCUCUAAUUCUUUCUUCAACUCUGUAAUUUGCUUGCUUUUUCCAUUUUAUUUAUUGAAGUAAAUUAAAUAAUUUUUAUGUGUGCCUGAAUAUUCCACUACUGAAGUCUUUUCAGGUCUGAUUCAGCUAUCAGUUGUUUCUGCUUGUUCUAACCUGUGGGAUUUUGUUUCUUUAAUGUUUAUUGAUUUUUAUUGUGAUAUUAGUGUUCCUCAUACAGUAAUUCUUAGAGGUCUGGAAUGAAGUAAAUUUUUUCCAAAGGGAGUGGGAUUAUAUCAGUCUUCUGGAAACACUACUAUUCCAUUAUGCCUUUAAAAUUCAUUAUGUGAGGUUUUGUCAACUACAAAAAUAAGGUAAAUUCAGGCUGCAUACCUGCUUGAAGGCCAAGCUGUGAAUACAAAUUUUCAGGAAAAAAACUUUUGCAAAUCUGAGAUGGAUAUUUUUUCUUUCAGUCUUAGUGAUAUUACAGUCUAUGUUGGUAUUUUUUUUUAAGAUUUAUUUAUUUAUUUGCUUGUUUCAUUUGAAAGGCGAAGUUACAGAGAAAGAGAGGGAGACAGAGAUACUGGUCUUCCAUCACUAGUUCACUCCCCAAAUGUCCCUGCCCUGGACAAAGCCAGGAGCCAGGAACUCUUUGGGUCUCCCACAUGGACAGGAGAAGCCCAAGAACAUGGAUCUUCCUUUGCUUCCUAGGCUCAUUAGCAGGGAGCUAGAUGGGAAGUAGAGCAGCCAGGACUUAAACCAGCACCCACAUGGGAUGCUAGCACUGCAGGAAGUGGCUUAACCUACUUUGCCACGAUGCCAUCCCCCAAAUAUCAGUAUUCCUAAUUCAUCCAUUUACUAAGGAAUAGACCCUGUUGCUUUAAACUUUGUAUAAGACAUGAAUUUAUUAGACAUGAAUGUUGUUUUCCAUCUUCUGGAACAAAGCUUUGAAAACCAGUGCACAACUUCAUCUAGCUCAGUAAUUACACUAAAGACAGGAAGUCAUCUCUGGGUUCCCAACUUUAGAGUUUUGCUUCUCUCAGAUUAUAUACUUAAGAAGAGGUUUAAAUAUUUUUGGUUACUUUGAAUGAAUUCUAUUCUUGGCUCUCUUUACUAAUACUAAUUUUCAUCACAUGGUGGAGAACUUUCAUCUGCAGAUACAUUUGUAAGGAGAUUUCCCCCAUUGCCUCUCGUCCUGCUAUCCUUGAGACUCAUAUAAACAUACAAAUGUACAAGUGCACACAUGUAUGCACAAACACAGAUUUGCCUUUUUAUGCUCAAAACAGCUCCUGAAGGGCUCAAGACAUUGUAAACAAGGACUUUUGUGUAGGUGGGUAAUGAAUGCCUUUCACUCUUUACCUUAAAUACUUUCUGUAUUUUGAACUUAGUGAAUUAUCUAUUCAAAAAUAAAUUUAAAUUGAAUACCUGUUUUUUAAAGAUUUGUUUAUUUAUUUGACAGAAUGAGUUACAGACAGAGGGAGAGACAGAGAAGUCUUGUAUCUGCUAGUUCACUCCCCAAAUGGCCUCAACAGCAAGAGCUGGGCUGGUUGGAAACCAGGAGCCAGGAGCUGCUUCUGGGUCUCCCACGUGGGUGUAGGGGCCCAAGCACUUGAGCCAUCUUCCACUGCUUUCCCAGGCACAUUACCAGGGAGCAGGAUUGGAAGUGGAGCAGCUGAGACUUGAACUGGCACCCAUAUUGGAUGCCAGCCCCACAGGUGGAGGCUUAACCUACUAUGCUGCAUUGCCAGCCCUGGAAUACCUACUUUAAGCCACUAAAUUUAUAGAAAUUUUUUAUGGCACAGCAAAUGAAUACAGGCUGGUGCUCGCGCUCGCUCACUCUCUCUCUCUGUCUCUCCCUCUCUCUCUUUCACUAUUAUGAGCUGUUGGAACAUUGCAUAUAAAGACUUUUUGUGGACAUACGCUUUCAUGUACCAUUGGUAAAUACCUAGGAAUGGGGGAUGACUGGUGUUAGGGUUUGAAUAAUAGGCUGGGUGUCCCCCAGAGACCCGUGUGUUUGGGGCUUAGUCCCCAAAAUCAUCUGUUAAUGGUUAAUGGAUUAAGGUUAAAGACUUGAUCUGUAUGGUGUCUGGAAGGUAGACCCAGUGGAAGGUCUGUAGAUUAUUAGGGGCUCGCCCACAGAAGUAGUUAUUGAGAGAGGGUGGAUUGUAUAUGCUAAGCUCGGCCCAGCUUUUCUCUCUCUGCUUCCUGAUUCACCAUGUAAUCCUCCUUCCACUCAAGUUCAGCAAACCACCAUCUUCAUCAGGUGCCAGGCUAAUGGGGCUGCCUGAUCUUGGAUUGUGAACCUCCAAAACAUGAGCCAACAUAAACCUUUUUUCUUCCUAAGUAGUUUUUCUCAGCUAUUGUAGGUAUAAUAAUGAAAAGCUGACUAAUAAAACUGGCUUACAUGGUAAGUAUAUUUUUAAUUCUUCAGAAAAUUAGAAAAUCUUUUUCCAAAGGAGCAAUAUUGUUUUAUAUUGUCAGUGGCAUUAUGUGGGUAUUGUCACCAACACUUGGUAAGGUUAAGUCUUUUUCAUUCAUUCUCCUGGGUGUGUAGCAAUGUCUUUAUGUAGUGGCAUUUCAGAGAAUGCACUAUGCAUAAUUUCAGACUGAAAUAUGUUGAGAUUGUCUUUAUGGCUGAGAGCAUGAUCAAUUUUGGUAAACAUUUCAUGUCCUUAAAAUCAAGAUACAAACUGCAGUUGUUUGGUAUGAUGUAUGUUUUAGGUCAAUUUUCUUAAUUCUGUUACUCAGAUCUUACAUUUGAACUCAUUUUCUUUAUCUGCUUUUUUUUUAUCACUUUAUGGAUAUUAUGAAUUAAAAGUCUUUCAUUUUGACUCAGGCAUUUUUUCUUUCAGUUCUUCAGUUUUGCUGUAUUACAACCAAUAAUAUGGUCUUUCAGUAGAGUUUUAUCCUUUUGAGAAUAUCAUAUAAAUGAAAUGAUACAUUAUGUCACCUUUUGAGACAUUUACUCAGUGUAAGGUUUGAGAUUCACACAAGCUGUAGCAUGUAUCAAUGGUUCAUUUAUUUUUAUUGCUGAAUAGUUAUCCAUUCUAUGGGUAAAACAAGUUUUAUUUUUUACUUGUUUACCCAUUAGUUGACACAUGAAUUGUUUCCUGUUUGGGGAUUGUGAAUAGAUUUUGUAUAAACAUUCAUGUACAUACUUCUGUCUGACCAAGUUUUCAUUUUUCUGGAAUGAAUAAAUAGGAGUAGGAUUGCUAGGUUCCAUGGUAGGUAUAUAUUUCACUUACAAGAAACUAGCAGACUUUUCAGGAGUAGUUCCAUAAUAUAACUCUUUAAAUUAUGAUUUUACUUAGAUUAAAUAUUUUGUCACAUCCAGUGAGAUGUAGAAGCCUUAAACCCUCAUGUUCUUUUGUCCUGUAUGCUUUAUGUUGUAAUAUUACAUCUCUAGUCAUUAAAAAUACUAUUAGAUGUUGUGACUUUUGCCUUAAGCCAUCAAAUAUAUUUUAAAGAAUUCAAGAGGAGAAUAGCCUAUUGUAUUUACUCAGAUGUCAACCAUUUCUACUGCUCAUAUUUUAUGCAUGAUGUGUCAAGUUUUGCUUCAAGUAUCAUUUUCCCAAAGGUCUGAAGACCUUAUUUUAGUAAUUCUUUUAGAGCAUGUUACAUGACAACAAAUUAAGUUUUCCUUUAUCUGAGACUGUUUUUAUUUUAGCUUUGUUCCUGAAUAAUAUUUUAACUCAAUAUGGAAUUGUAGGAAGACAGACCUCUUUGUGUUCUUUGUGCUUUAGAAAAUAUGCCAUAUUUAGAAAAUAUGCCAUUUGGAUCUUCAUGAGGUGAAGGAUUUAACAGUCACUUGAAUCAUUGUUUCUUUAUAAUAAGAUAUUGAUUUUCUAGGGCUACUUUCAAAUCUUUCCCUUUGUCUUCAGUUUUCAGAAGGUUGACUGUGGUGUGUUUUGGUAUGGAUUUCUUUUUUUUUUUAACUUUUAUUUAAUGAAUAUAAAUUUCCAAAGUACAGAAUAUGGAUUACAAUGGCUUCCCCCCCCCCAUAACGUCCCUCCAACCCGCAACCCUCCCCUUUCCCACUCCCUUUCCCCUUCCAUUCACAUCAAGAUUCAUUUUCGUUUCUCUUUAUAUACAGAAGAUCAGUUUAGCAUACAUUAAGUACAGAUUUCAACAGUUUGCUCCCACACAGAAACAUGAAGUGAAAAAUACUGUUUGAGUACCAGUUAUAGCAUUAAAUCUCAAUGUACAGUACACUAAGGACAAAGAUCCUACAUGAGGAGUAAGUGCACAGUGACUCCUGUUGUUGACUUAACAAAUUGACACUCUUGUUUAUGGCAUCAGUAAUCACCCUAGGCUCUUUGGUAUGGAUUUCUUUGGGAUUCUGAUGUUUGGGAUGGACUGGACUUCUUGAAUUUGUAGGUUAAAGUUCUUUGCUAUAUUUGGGAAGUUUUUCUUUUUUUUAAUCCAUUAUUUCCCCUUCCAUUUUAUUGUGGUAAACGAUACGUAACAUAAAAUCUGUCACAUUGACAUUUUAGAUAUCUAAUUUAGUACAUUUACAAUUUGCAACAAUCACCACUGUUUACUCCAGGAACAUUUUCAUCAUCCAAAUAAAAAAAGAAAUUUUUUAUGCAUUGAGUAAUGAGUCUCCGUUCUCCCUUCCGUUAGUUCCUGGUAACUUCUAUUUUCUCUAUGAAUCUGUAUAUUCUAGUUACCUCAUGUAAAUGGAAUCAUAGGGUAUUUGUCUUAAUGUUUCUGAAUUAUUUCAUUUAUCGUAUGUUUUCCAUAUGAUUGUAAGUAUAUACCACAUUUUGUUUGUCCAUUCAUCUGUUGUUUGAAACUUGGGUUGUUUACAUCUUUUAGCCAUAGUGAAUAAUAAUUUCAUAAGCAAUUGCAUAAAAAUGUCUCUUUGAAUCCCUUUUUUUUUUUUUUGGUCUUUUGGAUAUACACUAAGAAUGAAUUGCUGUGUCAUGAUAAUUCUAUAUUGAACAUUUUGAGGAACUGCCACGCUGUUCCACUUAUUAUAAAAGUGGCUUAGUGUUUUACAUUUUCAUCAGCGAUGUACAAGGGAUCUAAUUUCAUGCCCCUGUCCUUGCCAACAUGUAAUUUGGAGCUUUUUUGAUACUAGUCGUUCAAGUGGGUAUAACAAGGUAUCAUUUUUUUCUCCUCUGUCUGAGACUGUGAUAACAUAAACAUUUGUCUUUUGUUAUUGUCCUACAGGUUUCUUAGGUUCUAUACUUUUUUAGGAAAUAUUUUUGUCUGUUUUCCAAUCAGAUAAUUCCUAAUGGUCUAUCUUUUAAUUCACUGACUCUUUUUUGUCAUCGCCUUAGUAUUAUUAUGACCAUCAGUGAGGUUUUUUUAAUUGUUAAUUUCAGUAUAUUUUUAGUUCUGAAAUUUUAGUUUGAUUCCUUAUAUUUUCCAUUUCUUCCCUGAGAUUUUUUCUUUUAUCCAUUUUGAGUGUCAUUACUUCCUAGAGCACUUUUAUAAUGCCUUCUUUAGUAUGUUGAUCACAUAAUAAAAGCAUCUGCAUCUAAUCAUUGACAUGUUGAUUCCCUUUAUUUAUGUGAGUUCAGGUUCAUCUGGUUCUUUAUAUAAUAAGUUUGAAUUAUAUCAUGAACAUUUUGAAUAUUAUAGGACUCUGGCUUUCUUUAAAUUCUGUGGGAAGAUGUUGAUACUUUUAUUUAAGCAGGCAGUUAACGUUUUUGUUUUGUUUGUACGUUUCAACCAGCCUUGGGUUGUGGUUUCAAUGUCCUAUUUUCAAAGCCUGUUCAUAUUUAUUAAAAUCUAUCACAUACAUGCUGCUCAGUGGCCAGCCUAAGACCUGGGGACUGGUCUGCCUCUUAGUGCAUUCUGUCUGUCUAUGUUUGGUAUGUUUAUUGGAACCUCACAUGCAUUUCUCUGAAAUCAUUUUAGGAAUUCAUAAACAUAUUUAUUUGGUAAUGCCCUUCCCACUACUUUCCAAUCCUCUGACGCUCUCCUUUGAACUUCCAACUGUAAUGCUGAGAUUUUAUUUAACGCAGUGUACCAAAAAACUCCCCAUGCUGCACCUACAUCCAGGGCUAAGUAAAGGGAGGUUAGUGAGAGUUCAGACAUCAGUGGUGUUCACUAUACCUUCUGGAGACUAUGGCCUUUUUUUAACUGGAAAAAUCUCUCCCUUCCCCCAGAGAUUUUGAUUCUUGUAGGCUCCUGUAAUUAUCAUGAGACCUCUAGGUUGCUUUCUGAGCCUAGGCUGGAAUGCUUUUCUGAAUGCGCUCUCUGGCCACACCAAUGCCUAUUUCCACAUUUCAGGAUGUCUUAGAUCCAGACUGGAAUAUACUAAAGAGGGGUGAAUAUGAUCUGCUCACCCCUACUUAGGUGAUACUGUGAUUUCUGUUAUUAUCCUAUCUGCCUACUACUAUUUACUUUUCGGAGUAUUCAAGAGUAUUUAUAUGCGUUCUGUCCAGAUUUUAUAGCUGCACUUGAUGGGAGAAUGAGAGUAGAGCACUUAACUCUGCCUUACACAGAACUGGAACCCUUGCAGUAAUUUUGUAAUUAAAAAUACCAACAGUAAGGAAACAACCAAAUUUGACAAGUAAGUGCUAUCAAUACUAAGCCAAAGUAUUCUUUAAAAUAGAAUUUCUCAGUAAAAUUCCAGAUAGAAUUCACUUUUUAAAAAAUAUUUAUUUAUUUAUUUGAAAGUCAGAAUUGCAUAGAGAAGGAGAGGUAGAGAGAGAGUUCUUCCAUCUACUGCUUCACUCUCCAGUCGGCCAUAAUGGCUGGAGCUGUGCCAAUCCAAAGCCAGGAGAUGGGAGCCAGGAAUCAGGAGCUUCUUCUGAGUCUCCCAUAUGGGUACAGAGGCCCAAGGACUUGAGCCAACUUUUUCUGCUUUCCCUGGCCAUAGCAGAGAGCUGGAUCAGAAGUGGAGCAGCCAGGUCACAAAGCCACACCCAUGAGGGAUGCUGGCAAUUCAGGUGGCACCUUGACCUAUAUAUACCACAGUGCCAGCCCCUAGAAUUCACUUUUAAAAUUCCACCAAACCAGGGGCAAGACAAGGUUGCCUCCUAGGCUACUAAGGAGUCUUAACUACAGAUCACAGAAAAGUUUCUCUGGCUGACAAGAAGAAAUAUAACUUACCAAGUAAGUAUUACAAGAAGAUACAAGUAACUAAAUCAAAAUUGAAAGUGAAGACAGUGCUUCUGACCUUUAUGAAAUCAAAAGGAUUAUAGGAAUACUCUGUACUAUACCUAAAAAACUGGGUAAGCUAGAUGACAUGGACAAGUUUCUUGAAACAUAAGUUACCAAAACUGACUCAAAAAGAAAUAGAAGAUUGACACAGAGCUAUUACAAUUAAGAGAUUAAUACAUUAAAAUAUCCCAACAAAGAGUCUAGGAUCAAAUGGCUUUACUAGUGAAUUAUACCAAGCAUAAAGAAAUAUUAGCACCAAUCCUUCUUAAAUUCUUCCAAAAAUAUAAGAGGUAGGAAUACUUCAUAGCUCAUCUUACGAGGCCAGCAUUAACCAAAUAUGUAAAAAUCAUCAUCAAAAUACAAGCAAGCCAAAUGCAAAGCAUAUUAAAAGAUUAUACACCAUGACCAAAAGAGAUUCAUUGCAGGAAUGCAAGGAUGUGUGAGCCUAAGAAGAAGCAAUGUAAUGUACUACACUAAUACAAUGAAAGAAAAAAAUAUAAUCAUCUCAACUGACGCCUAAAAGCAUUCGGAAAAAUUCAACACAUUUUCAUGAUAAAAAUUCAGAAAGCUAAGAAUGGAAGUGAACUCCCUCAACUUAAUAGAAGCAGUUACAAACACAGCAGUGCCGUGGCUGUAGCUGGUAAAGUUGCCACCUGCAACACCAGCAUCCCAUAUAGGAUCCUGUUCAAGACCCUGCUGCAUUACCUCCAGUCUUGCACCCUACUGAUGAUGUGUCUGAAAGCAGCAGAAGAUGGCUCAGGUGCUUAGGCUCCUGCAUCCAUGUGGGAGACCCAGAAGAGGCUUCUGGUACCUGGCUUCAGCCUGGCUCUGUUUUGGCCGUUGCAUCCAUCUGGGGAGUGAACCAGAAUAUGGAAGGACUUUGUCUCCCUCCCUCACUCUAACUUUCAAAUAAAUCUUUUUUAAAAAAGACUCAUAGUCUGAUCACUUUGACUAGUGAGAUGGCAUUGGUACAUGCCACCUUGAUUAUCCCAUUUAUCUUUUUUUGCUUUUGUUGAUUGGGCUUCUGGGAUCUUAUCCAAUAAAUCUUUGCCAGUGCCAAUGUCUUACAGUACUUCUCCUAUGUUUUCCUCCAGUAAUUUGAUUGCUUAAAUUUUUAGGGGUUAGACCCUUGAUCCAUUGAGAGUUGAGUUUUUAUAAGAUGUGUAAGGUAGGGAUCCUGAUCUGUACUUCUGCAUGUUUAGCUCCAAUUUUCCCAACACCAUUUUUUGAAAAAAUAGUUGCUUCCCUAAGGAGUGAUUUUAGUUCAUUUGUCAGAGAUUGUUUGGUUGUAGAUGUGUAGAUUAAUUUCUGGAGUUUCUAUUCUCGCCCAUCGAUCCACAUAUCUAUUUUUGUGCUAUUAUUAUGAUGCCUCCAACUUUGUUUUUAUAGUUUAAGAUUGCUUUAGCUAUUUGAGGUCUCCUAUGUUCCCAUAUGAAUUUUAGUAUCCAUUUUUUGAGAUCUGGGAAGAUUGUCCUUGGCAUUUUGAGUGGGAUCACAUUUAAUGUGUAAAUUGCUUUGGGUAGUAUGGACAUUUUGGUGAUAUUAAUUCUUCCAAUCCAUGGAUUUGGAAGAUUUUUCCAUUUGUAUGUGUGUAUGUGUGUGUUUUAUAUUCCUUUCCUUAAUUUUUUGUAAUUUUCAUUGUAGAAUUCUUUUACUUCCUUAUUCAAAUUGAUUCCAUAAUGUUUAAAUGUUUUUGUAGCAAUUGUGAAUGGGAUUGUAAACAUAGGCUAUGAUUUUUGUGUGUUGAUUUUAUAUCCUACAACUUUGCCAAACUCUCUUAUGACUUUAAUAGUCUCUUAGUGGCGUCUUUGUUCUCUUAUGUAUGGCAUCAUGUCAUCUGCAAACAGGAAUAGUUUGACUUUCUCCCUUCCCAUUUGUAGUCUUUUGAUUUCUUUUUAUUUCCUACUUGCUUUGGUAAAACUUCCAGAACCAUAUUCAAUAAUAUGGUGAGUGGUUAUCCUUGUCUGGUUCCAGAUCUUAGUGAAAAUGCUUCCUGCUUUUCCCCCUUUAAUAUGAUUCUGGCAAUGGGUUUGUCAUAUAUUGCCCUGAUUGUGUUUGGGAAUGUCCCUUCUAUACCCAGUUUGCUUAAGGUUUUUAUCAUGAAAAGAUGGUUACAUUUUAUCAAAUGUUUUCUCUGUGUCUAUUGAGAUAAUCAUUUGAAAUUCUGUACCCAUAAAACAGCAAAUCCAUAUUACUUCCUUUCUCCAACGCUUAAUAAACACCAUCCUACUUAUUGCCUCUAUUCUUUUCACUGUUCUAUAUAUCUUACUUACGUGGAGCCUUGGAGUACUUGUCCUGUUGUGACUGGCUUAUUUCAUUUAGCAUAUCCUUCAACUUUUAUCUGUGUUAGACCAUAUGUCACAAUUUCCUUUUAAAAGGAAGGAAAUAAAGCAUUCUAUUAAAUAUUUGUACAUUUGCUUUUCUGUUAGUUUUCUGAUGGAAAAUUGUUACUUCCAAUGUGAAAAAUUGCUACUGUGAACAUGAGUUACAGGUACUACUUCAAAACCCUUUUUUAAUUUUUGCAGUUAAGAACCAAUCAAACAUUGUUUAAAAAAAAAAAAACACAACUACCCAGUGCUCAGUGUAUAUGCUACACAAAGGAAUUGCUAUAGUUAGGAACCAGGCAGAGCAAUGAUAAAUCUAUAUAGAUAUUCUCUAUAUACAUCCUGAAGAUUGGUAACUAGGCAUUCAAUGAAGAGUUGAAUAAUUGAUUGACUUAAGAAAGGAAAUAGGACUGGCUAAAAGUAAUAGGCAAGUUUUCUAGCUUUCAGGUAUGUGCUUACUGAUAUAAAAUUAUCUUUAAUCAGUGGAGAUGAUUUUUAAGCCUAGUACUGAAGGUUACUUGAUGUUACAGUCCUUCUCUAGUACAGAUUUGAAAACCUUAAGCAGCCCACCAAAAUUUGACACCUUAUCUACAGAUUAAGCAUUCACCACAGUAUUCCUCACUGUCACUUAAGCAAUGACCAGGAAAAGAAGGAAAAUUUAGAGUAUUGCAGCAGAAUUUCUUCAACAACUUCUGCAACAGAAGUAUGUUUCCAGUUGGUGCAUUUGUUCUCUAAAUGAGGAAAGCCACUUACCAGUGAUAGGCUAGCAAAACUGGAUAUGAUUGCAGUGGACAAAGAAAUGUAUCUAGAGAAAAUAAAGUUAUUUAAGAGUAUUAGCCUUUCAAUGAAAAUGGUUGCUUGAAAGCUUGAGUAAUAUCAAUACCCAAGAAAAAACAAUGAAGAUAAUUUCAAGUUGUAUUCUUUAAUUAGAAGAGUCUACAGAUAUUGAUACUGUUCAAUUGUAUGUUCAAAGAGUUGAUGCCAAAUUUUGAGUUAAUAAGGAAUUAGACCUUACGCAUAGUCUGUGGAAUAACUAUAGGUGAGAAUAUUUUCAGAGAAGUUGGGAAAACAAUUAAUUCUUUAAAACCUGAAGUAGAAUUACAAGUGAUGGUAGUAAAACCAUGUACAGCAAAAAAGGCAUAGGUAUGGUCGGUUCCAAGAUGGCGCAAUAUGGAGGGAGCUUACUGAUCUAGUCCAGGAGAAGAUGGUUUAAUAAAAAUGGAGAUAGUGUAGUCUCAGGGAAGAGUUAGGGGAAAAAUGGCAGAGGAAACUCUCCAUAAUUAGAGGGACAUGAUGGACCUAUGUGAAGGGCAUGGGCGCCCACAGCUCGGGACUCCAGCAGCUGAGAGCCUCCAUAUCAGCGCUGGAAAAUGAGGUGAGACCAGACCGAGAAACUGGUGAAAAAGCAGUAGGAAGAGUCUAGAGGGAACGAGACUUGAAGCCCCAUGGGGGUAAGUACACAAGCUUAACUAGAGGGGAGAAAAAAUAAAAGGGGCAGUACAGACACGAUUCUCUUUCUCCAGUCACCUUACAAAAGUGUACAAGCCAAUAGAGCAGGCGCCAUUUUGGACAUACGUAACAGCUGCACCAGCUCGUGUCUGCACCUGGCAAUCAGCCAACCAGAGAAACCUGACUCUGGUGGGGAGUAUUAACAGGAGACUAAGACCUAGUGACUGUGUGGAGCUUCUGAACUGGGACUGUGGAAAAAAACAAAAGGAAAAAAACAGGAUGUGUGGGAGAACUCAUGGUGUGGCUGAGGCUUUGAGUAGUCUUGGUGGGAGAUGCCACAAGCUCAGGUGACCCUUGCUAUCCAGUGAGAGACAUUGCAGGGGAAUCUGAACUUACACUGAGGACUGAACAUAUCCUUUGUGUGGUCCUUGGGACAGAACAGAUGAAUAUUGUACCCACUGGGGCCAGUGCUCAGUCACUGAUCACCAUCUAGGAGAACAGCUCAGCUGAGUGGAUUUACUUCUCUUCUGAUUAAAAAAAAAAAAAAAAGAUUUUACACGCCAAACCUG